AAAUAAUAUUUUGAUUAGUAAUUAAUGAAAAAGAAAAUUAAUAAAAUAUGGGAAAAAUUUACCAAAUCUAAAAGUGAUACAUUUAAAAAGGACACAUAAAAAACAACUGAUUAUUUUAAAAGAAACAUAGGUAGUAAAGAACAAAAAGUUACUGAAUAUUAAAGAAUCAAAUAUUUUAAACCAAUAUUCUGGUGAUAAAAUAUGGGUACUCAGUAUCGGCUUCGAAAUCGGUAAUUAAUUGCCUUAUCGAAUCUAAAUCAGGUCAUGAGUAUAAAAUUUGGACACCGAUCUCAUUUCCCAAGUUCUAUCAAAUAUGGUUUAUGCACCCGAGUGCACAAUGCUCACCGUGCAACUAUUUUCAUACUGUUGGAGAAGACCCAGUCAAGAGUAGUUAACAAUAUUUAUCUUGUAUAUUAUCCUGUGCAUUAUCUCUUAGCAUAGUUAUCUUUUGUUCACAACCUAUGUACUUAUCUUUUGUUGUUCUAUACUUAGCAACUACUCAUAAUGGGCUGUAUAUUACUCAUUACGUUUAAUGAUAAGCUUUCCCACUCAUCUCUCCUACUCUACAUGGUUUCAAAGCCACAAUUUUUUUUAACUCAAUCUCUUCCAAACGCCCCUACCAUGUCUCAUGCAGGUAGUAGCACUAAUUCCCUAGGCCCCUUUGGUUCAAAAUUCUUGUUUGAUGAUUCAAGGUGAUAAGAUAGGACCGCCCUUUGGUGGUAAUUGGUCUUUUAAGACCCAUUUCUAUUGUUCCUAGACGACUACACACACCCCAAGAAAGUGCAGGGCAUUUUAGCCAACUUCAAGGAGCCACAAAAGUCAAACUCAGCCCAAAGAAGUUAGGCUCGAGACAAAGACUUCAAAGCUCGUGAAAAAAGAUUCAUUGCACCGAAAACCGGUGGCCUCGGGUUCCAGAAACCGGCCGGUUUUCGGAUCAUGGAAUUAUAAUUUUGCAUUCGUAUUCGUCCGAAUUUGGAAAUCUGGAGGCACCGGUUUUGAAGAUAGCAGGAUCCGGAACAUGCUUAUGUGCCGAAAACAGACCGAGUAGAAUCCGACCGGUUUUCGCUGCUUUCACGUAUUUUCUUCGGUUUUCUCCGUACGUUUUUAGGGGAAGCUAUAUAUAUUUACUUGCGUUUUUAUUAGCGGACACCUUUUAUUAUUCUAGUUUUUGGCAUUAAGCUUUACUCUUAAUUUAGUUUAUUCUCUCAAACAUUGAAAACACUUAUUUUUAUUUUAAAUUUAAAGUUCGAACCUUUAGUUCUUCCCUUGU